rnacentral:rRNA from 1 species
AAAAUUAAACGUCAGAAUUGAUAGCUGUUUAACAACUUUAGACUUUAAAUUAUUUGUACGGUUAAAAUAUCUUACAAACUAGUAUAUUUGCUGUUUAUGUAUUUACGAUAGGGUUAAAAGUACCCAAUUGUUAUAAUAUUGUUUAAAAUUUAAGUUGCUUUAGCAUAAAAUUACUUUCAAUGGUUGUUUAAUAUAAUAUAUUGAAAUUAAGAAUAUCUGAAUAAGUAAUAAAAUCAAAGUAGUUAUUUCUCAAGUACUACCCGUCUGUUUAUUAAAAACAUUUCUAUAUAAAAACUUUUAUAGUAGAGCCUGCUCAAUGCAUGAUUUGUAAAUAGCCGCAGUAUUUUGACUGUGCAAAGGUAGCAUAAUUAAUUGCCUUAUAAUUGAAGGCUUGUUUGAAUGGUUUGACGUGGUAGCUAUGAAUAUUUAUUUUUUUUUUGAAAUUGAUUUGGAGGGCACAGAAUCCUCCAAUGUUAAUUAGACGGAAAGACCCCAGGAUCUUUUGUUUUUGUCUGGGGCAGAUGAAAAUUUUUUAUUUUUAUUUUGACCCUCAAUGGUUUAAUGAGUUAAGUUACCCUGGGGAUAACAGUGUAAUAGUUUAUUAGAGAUCAUAUCGAGUAAAUUGUUUGCUACCU